GUUUAGCUAGUUUAAACAAAAACGUUGGUUUGUGAUACCAAAAAUAUAAUUCUUUUUAUUCUAGACC
rnacentral:tRNA from 1 species